ACGAACGCUGGCGGCGUGCUUAACACAUGCCAGUCGAACGGAAAGGCCCUGCUUUUGUGGGGUGCUCGAGUGGCGAACGGGUGAGUAACACGUGAGUAACCUGCCCUUGACUUUGGGAUAACUUCAGGAAACUGGGGCUAAUACCGGAUAGGAGCUCCUGCUGCAUGGUGGGGGUUGGAAAGUUUCGGCGGUUGGGGAUGGACUCGCGGCUUAUCAGCUUGUUGGUGGGGUAGUGGCUUACCAAGGCUUUGACGGGUAGCCGGCCUGAGAGGAUGACCGGCCACAUUGGGACUGAGAUACGGCCCAGACUCCUACGGGAGGCAGCAGUGGGGAAUAUUGCACAAUGGGCGGAAGCCUGAUGCAGCAACGCCGCGUGCGGGAUGACGGCCUUCGGGUUGUAAACCGCUUUCGCCUGUGACGAAGCGUGAGUGACGGUAAUGGGUAAAGAAGCACCGGCUAACUACGUG
rnacentral:rRNA from 1 species